UCAUAAUAACACUACCACCACAAACCAGGGCAAGUCGUAACAUGGUAAGCGUACUGGAAAGUGCGCUUAGAAACAA
rnacentral:rRNA from 1 species